CGUACAAUACAACAUUCGAGGUCAUCCGCGGGAAUUACCUUUAAUCUUAUCAAAACGCAGAAGAAGCACCGUAAACUAAUAACAUCGACUAAUAUUUUCCCCUAGUGUCUGUGUACCUCAAGUUAGAAAAUAUAAGUAUGGGUGUCAAAAAUGGUUUGAAAAAAAAAAAUAAAAUAUGCAAUCGCAUAAUUUUUCGAAAACAUGUAGUAAAAAAAAGUUUGAUGUUCCCUUAACGCCGCACCCAGUCUCAAUUGUAGUGAUAUCAAUGAAAUCACGUGAUUUACGGUAAAGUUGGUUGGUCGAGCGAAUUGGCAUACGACAAAUCGAAUGGUAUAACCAACCGGAACAGCUAUAUGUGUACAUAAUACAUACAUAUACAUCCAAUAAAUUCAGUUACUUUUCUUAUUUCAUACGAAGCGUGAGACGGGUUGCGGUUUUAAAUGUCGAAGAUCACAGUACAAUGUGCGAUUCGUAUCAUUUACGUACAAACAAGCGAAUCGCCAGUGAAAAACACCAUUGACUCAUAGAAUUCUCACUUUGCGUAUACUUAUAAUCUGGCUCACGACGUAGCGACAAGGGAGGGAAGAAGAAAAAGAGAGUUUCCUCACCGUGGUUGUGGGCUGGACGGAAAGGGAGAGCCUUCCAGCUCGGGAUGCGAGAGUUUCCUGCGCGCUCGCCGAGGAUCGACGUCGUCCUACCCAUGUGCUGGUCCAUGUGUUUGCUCGUCUUCUAGGAGGCGGUGGUUCGAUCCCGGCGUAGAUCGGGUACGUCAAGGUAGCCGGCAUCUUCGAGAAGGUAUCCGCAAACCGAAUCGCAACGCGUCGAAGGACAGAAAUGAUCUAUGGAUCGACUAGGUGCCCAGGCUGGUGGCUGCAGCUUUUCCGUUCAUAACUCGACUUAAACUUUGUAUGCAAUUGGUGUUCGGUUUCCUCUAUUUUCUUUCUUCUCUCGAAGUAUUAGACACGCUCCUGCAACGUAUUUUAUUAUUAUACGUACACCGUACGUUGUACGUGCCGAAUAGAGAUGCAUAGAGGCAAGAAUUACGGGCGUUAUACGUUGCGCGUUGGGAGGAUCGGGGUCCCGGAUCACAGCGGUGGCGGCUGUAGCCGAUUAAAGUUAAUUAGCGCGCACAAUUACGUAUAUCGAACAACAAAAUUUGACGAUUUUUACAUAUUUUUACAUUAUAGUUAUAUACAAAUACUUUUCUUCCCGCACCUUCGUUAAGAGCCACUCGUCGGCGUUACUUUUAGACUAGUUUCUUUAUUCGUUUUGACACACACCACACACAAGCAGCAACUGUGAGAAAUGGCUAUAUAUAUGCAUACAGACAACGCGUUCUGCCAAUAUUAGCCAAGCUCGCCCCGCAAAAUAAAGAAGCAAAAGCAAGUGGUGCUGUUUAUCAAAACGAUCAAGCGAUCACCUUGUUGAUCGUUAUCAGCUAGCACACGCGGUUUAAUCGCGAUGUUACAUAGAGAAAAUUAACGAGAAAGAAAUUACUCGUUCUUUGUUCGUUUAGCCGUACCCCACACGAUCUCAACUUAAUCAGCGCAUUAUUCUUCGCACACACACAACACCUACGCAAUGCGCACGCGAUAUACUUGUUCCUCCUUGAGUUUAAGUUUCAAACUAUUUCGCCAGGGCAACGAGGUGCAAAAAUUUAAGGCAAGUAUUCCGAUCCGUAACGUUAAACGUGAAAUUAAAUGAAUUGUCGCGGAAAACGUAAUUCCCGAAAGUACCAAAACUUUCGAAGAUAGAUAAGAAUGAGACAGCAUCAGAGCUGCUUUAAAUCAACGUCUGAUAACACCGUCGUGCGCGACUCAUGGACGACAGAGUCAAAAGAUAUGCACAGAUAUUACACGGGCGCGUAUUGCGAGUAAUGAUAAGUGUAUACAACAUACAUGAUACGUUAUAUGCGCGUGAGCGUAAGCGUUAAUACACUCCGCGUCGAGACGGUAUUGAGGAUUUUCUUAACACAGAAGUAUUAUGAUAAUUAAUGACAAAUUCACGAAUUUUUUUUUCUUCCUUUUUUUUCCCCCUUGUUCUCUCUUUGUUUUCCGAGUACACGCGCGACUACGUAACGUACCGUGCUUUCCAGGUCACGCCUGACUGCGACAAGACGCGAAUCGACCUAGGCCCAAGUUGAGAAAAUUAUGAACUACGUAAUUGAUAUAUGCAGUAAUUUAUUCUAUAGUAGUUUCAUUUACGCAUUCACGCUGCGUCGCGGGCCGCCGACUUCCUGCGCGUAAACGAAAAUGCCGAUUAUUAUUGGCCGGCUGCAACCGCGGAACGUUAUUAUGCAUAUGACAGUAAAUUGAUACAGCGAAACUGUAAGGUGUUGAUAGAUUAUAAGAUACAAUUACUGCUGCAUUCUUGAUCUUCUAUUGUACAAUUUUACAUCAUGUAUAUAUGUUAAUAAUAAGAAUAGUCAUCGUCGUAAUAAUAUGGCUAUACAAUAGUACACAAUCAUCAACUUAUGGUAGACCGUUGACAGAAUCAUCAACACUCGGUACUUACCCAGCACCUCUCUCUCGAUAUACAACUAUGUAUAAAAUAUAAAUAAAUUAAUUAAUAUGAUAAUUACAAUUUAAGCAAGUUUCAAUCCAUAUAUAUAUAUAUAUAUGAACUGGACGUGAUUCAAGUUUAUAUUUUUUUUAAAUAGGAGCACGGAACGAAUAACAAUUUGCACAUUUCUUGACGCUGCAAGGCGUGAGCCAAACGAUAUAUAAAUUUCAUUUUGCAACGUACAGGUUUUUUCCACCUUGUUAUUAGUUUCUAACAACUUCGACAAACUAAUCAGCAAUGGUCGCUGAAACUAUAACAGCUGUGGCCCACGAUUAGAUGCUAUCAACAUUAAAAAAAAAAAAAAAAUACAAACAAGCUAAUAGUUAUGGAUACUAGCUAACGGUAUACAGUAGAACCCCGAUUAACUGGGAUUGGUUUAACCGGGGAGCGAAUUAACCGUGACCCUCUGGAGCGCCUCCGCGCUUUGCGUGAGUAACCGGGUAUUAGCGGUUGUCUUGAAAAGGGAUUGGACUUGUGAAAAUACUCGUAGUUCACUGACUGCAUCACAUGCUCGGCAGUCACUACUGAAUCGAUCGAAAAUUACUAAUAAUUCGGAUUAACCGUGAUUUCACUUAUUCGUGGAUUCUUCGGUCUUGAGCAGCCCAGUUAAUCGAGGUUCCACUGUACUCGUAAUUACAAAAGUCACGUGAGACAAAUUCGCUCCUAAAAAAGAGCGCAUGACAAAAUUAAGAAACGGACAGUAGUCCAAUGUCGAUUUAAUUAACGCACCGCGUAAAUAACAAACACGCGUACGGAACACGCGACAAUCGCGGGCGUUGAUAUUUAGAUACAUAUUAAACUAGUUUGAUGAUAAAAACUGGAUAAUUAAUUAUUUUGUUCGAGUAAUUAAUAAUCCGUGGGUCGUUGAUUUCAGUUCGCAUAAUGGCUAGAGAAGCCGAUUCUAAGGUACCUUCACGGAAGUGAUGAACGUCAUAGGAAUCUGCUAGGAGCUGUUGGAAUGAAGUGGAAUAACGAAUUUCGGUCCGAACGGAGAUCUGGGCAAUCCACCAAGGAGACUGAAUUUUGUCAUAAUUCCUGGAGUCCCAGCUGACGGGGGUUCAAUUGCAAGAACUGGUGCUCUAUUGCUGUUCGCCCAUGUUGCAACGGGAGCAACUGUCCUUGGCGAGCC